GGUUAAGCGACUAAGCGUACACGGUGGAUGCCCUGGCAGUCAGAGGCGAUGAAGGACGUGCUAAUCUGCGAAAAGCGUCGGUAAGGUGAUAUGAACCGUUAUAGCCGGCGAUGUCCGAAUGGGGAAACCCAGUGCAAUUCGUUGCACUAUCGUUAACUGAAUACAUAGGUUAACGAGGCGAACCGGGGGAACUGAAACAUCUAAGUACCCCGAGGAAAAGAAAUCAACCGAGAUUCCCCCAGUAGCGGCGAGCGAACGGGGAGCAGCCCAGAGUCUGAAUCAGCUUGUGUGUUAGUGGAACGGUCUGGAAAGUCCGACGGUACAGGGUGAUAGUCCCGUACACCAAAAUGCACAGGUUGUGAACUCGAAGAGUAGGGCGGGACACGUGGUAUCCUGUCUGAAUAUGGGGGGACCAUCCUCCAAGGCUAAAUACUCCUGACUGACCGAUAGUGAACCAGUACCGUGAGGGAAAGGCGAAAAGAACCCCGGCGAGGGGAGUGAAAAAGAACCUGAAACCGUGUACGUACAAGCAGUGGGAGCACCUUCGGGUGUGACUGCGUACCUUUUGUAUAAUGGGUCAGCGACUUAUAUUCUGUAGCAAGGUUAACCGUAUAGGGGAGCCGCAGGGAAACCGAGUCUUAACUGGGCGUUAAGUUGCAGGGUAUAGACCCGAAACCCGGUGAUCUAGCCAUGGGCAGGUUGAAGGUUGGGUAACACUAACUGGAGGACCGAACCGACUAAUGUUGAAAAAUUAGCGGAUGACUUGUGGCUGGGGGUGAAAGGCCAAUCAAACCGGGAGAUAGCUGGUUCUCCCCGAAAGCUAUUUAGGUAGCGCCUCGUGAAUUCAUCUUCGGGGGUAGAGCACUGUUUCGGCUAGGGGGUCAUCCCGACUUACCAACCCGAUGCAAACUACGAAUACCGAAGAAUGUUAUCACGGGAGACACACGGCGGGUGCUAACGUCCGUCGUGAAGAGGGAAACAACCCAGACCGCCAGCUAAGGUCCCAAAGUCAUGGUUAAGUGGGAAACGAUGUGGGAAGGCACAGACAGCCAGGAUGUUGGCUUAGAAGCAGCCAUCAUUUAAAGAAAGCGUAAUAGCUCACUGGUCGAGUCGGCCUGCGCGGAAGAUGUAACGGGGCUAAACCAUGCACCGAAGCUGCGGCAGCGACACUAUGUGUUGUUGGGUAGGGGAGCGUUCUGUAAGCCUGCGAAGGUGACCUGUGAGGGUUGCUGGAGGUAUCAGAAGUGCGAAUGCUGACAUAAGUAACGAUAAAGCGGGUGAAAAGCCCGCUCGCCGGAAGACCAAGGGUUCCUGUCCAACGUUAAUCGGGGCAGGGUGAGUCGACCCCUAAGGCGAGGCCGAAAGGCGUAGUCGAUGGGAAACAGGUUAAUAUUCCUGUACUUGGUGUUACUGCGAAGGGGGGACGGAGAAGGCUAUGUUAGCCGGGCGACGGUUGUCCCGGUUUAAGCAUGUAGGCUGGUUGUCCAGGCAAAUCCGGAUAAUCAAGGCUGAGGUGUGAUGACGAGGCACUACGGUGCUGAAGUAACAAAUGCCCUGCUUCCAGGAAAAGCCUCUAAGCAUCAGGUAACAUCAAAUCGUACCCCAAACCGACACAGGUGGUCAGGUAGAGAAUACCAAGGCGCUUGAGAGAACUCGGGUGAAGGAACUAGGCAAAAUGGUGCCGUAACUUCGGGAGAAGGCACGCUGGUGUGUAGGUGAAGUCCCUGCGGAUGGAGCUGAGACCAGUCGAAGAUACCAGCUGGCUGCAACUGUUUAUUAAAAACACAGCACUGUGCAAACACGAAAGUGGACGUAUACGGUGUGACGCCUGCCCGGUGCCGGAAGGUUAAUUGAUGGGGUUAUCCGUAAGGAGAAGCUCUUGAUCGAAGCCCCGGUAAACGGCGGCCGUAACUAUAACGGUCCUAAGGUAGCGAAAUUCCUUGUCGGGUAAGUUCCGACCUGCACGAAUGGCGUAAUGAUGGCCAGGCUGUCUCCACCCGAGACUCAGUGAAAUUGAACUCGCUGUGAAGAUGCAGUGUACCCGCGGCAAGACGGAAAGACCCCGUGAACCUUUACUAUAGCUUGACACUGAACAUUGAGCCUUGAUGUGUAGGAUAGGUGGGAGGCUUUGAAGCGUGGACGCCAGUCUGCGUGGAGCCAACCUUGAAAUACCACCCUUUAAUGUUUGAUGUUCUAACGUUGGCCCCUUACCGGGGUUGCGGACAGUGUCUGGUGGGUAGUUUGACUGGGGCGGUCUCCUCCCAAAGCGUAACGGAGGAGCACGAAGGUUAGCUAAUCCUGGUCGGACAUCAGGAGGUUAGUGCAAUGGCAUAAGCUAGCUUGACUGCGAGCGUGACGGCGCGAGCAGGUGCGAAAGCAGGUCAUAGUGAUCCGGUGGUUCUGAAUGGAAGGGCCAUCGCUCAACGGAUAAAAGGUACUCCGGGGAUAACAGGCUGAUACCGCCCAAGAGUUCAUAUCGACGGCGGUGUUUGGCACCUCGAUGUCGGCUCAUCACAUCCUGGGGCUGAAGUAGGUCCCAAGGGUAUGGCUGUUCGCCAUUUAAAGUGGUACGCGAGCUGGGUUUAGAACGUCGUGAGACAGUUCGGUCCCUAUCUGCCGUGGGCGCUGGAGAAUUGAGGGGGGCUGCUCCUAGUACGAGAGGACCGGAGUGGACGCAUCACUGGUGUUCGGGUUGUCAUGCCAAUGGCACUGCCCGGUAGCUAAAUGCGGAAGAGAUAAGUGCUGAAAGCAUCUAAGCACGAAACUUGCCCCGAGAUGAGUUCUCCCUGAGACUUUAAGUCUCCUGAAGGAACGUUGAAGACGACGACGUUGAUAGGCCGGGUGUGUAAGCGCAGCGAUGCGUUGAGCUAACCGGUACUAAUGAACCGUGAGGCUUAACCUU
rnacentral:rRNA from 1 species